rnacentral:rRNA from 1 species
UCGGGAAUAUUGCGCAAUGGAGGCAACUCUGACGCAGUGACGCCGCGUAUAGGAAGAAGGUUUUCGGAUUGUAAACUAUUGUAGACAGGGAAGAUACAAGACAGUACCUGUAAAGUAAGCUCCGGCUAACUAUGUGCCAGCAGCCGCGGUAAUACAUAGGGAGCAAGCGUUAUCCGGAUUUAUUGGGUGUAAAGGGUGCGUAGACGGAGAUUUAAGUUAGUUGUGAAAUCCCUCGGCUCAACUGAGGAACUGCAACUAAAACUGGAUUUCUUGAGUACGGGAGAGGAAAGCGGAAUUCCUAGUGUAGCGGUGAAAUGCGUAGAUAUUAGGAGGAACACCAGUGGCCGAAGGCGGCUUUCUGGACCGCAACUGACGUUGAGGCACGAAAGUGUGGGGAGCAAACAGGAUUAGAUACCCUGGUAGU